CAGUUACAGUGUGCAUCAGUUGAAUCAAACUGUCAAAAUUUAUUUACGUCGUCGUUGAUCGUCGAAAAAGGUAGAAAAAGUUUGCUCUUUUUGUUUGGAUUUUGGAAUGCACCUAAAAUUUGUGAAAAUCAAAAAAUAUCUUAAUAUUUCAUCAACUCGAACGAGACGUGUCUGGAUCAAGAAAUCUCUUCCAAUCUUAGCCAUGUUCCCGUUCCUGCUCCUUCCCUUCACUCUCGUUCAGCAGAGGUACAAGUGGGCAGCGGCUUUCUUCGGGUCUCCAAGUAACCCGCCAAGGGUGUUCGUGGCCAUUUGUGGAUGUCCUUUCGAUUUAGAUGCUGCUGUCCCUGGCGGAAGUUGGAGGUAGUGUAAAUACGUUGGGGGUCUGGCCGUAGCACCUUGAGAAGAUGCCACAUCACCUAACGUUGUCGGCUAUUUGGUUGACUUUUUGGCACCGGUUUGAGACGGCUUAUCCGAGAAAAAACACGAUGCCAUCUCGGUGGUGCAGCACCAGAGUUAAAUGGCCAGCGGCCGAGUGCUCCGCGGAAACAUUCCAGAAAGGUUGUCCCGAGAUUUGUCCACGCAUCGCCUGUCCCAGGGCCAUCCGCUCGUCAACGAUUGGAGUGAUCGUGGAGUGACCGUCUAAGAGGUGCCACAAAGUGAAAGUGUAGAAUUUAGAAAGUUAGUGCUUGUGUUCCAACUUCCAUUUAUUGUGAUUGCAAAAAUAUUUGUAAGAAUAAAUUCGAUUUUGAAAUUCGUUUUAUUUAAAAAAUUGCAAAUAAAAAUGUUUAACUAACUGCUUCUAGCUAAAUUCUAGCAGGAUUCUAGCAGAAAUUUCCUGCCAGUUCAUUCUAGCAGGAUUCUUACACAAUUCUAGCAGAAUGGGCUGUCAGUUCGUUCUAGCAGCAUUCUAGUAGGAUUCUUACAGAACCGGUUGAUUUCGCCGGCUCCUGCAAGAACCGGUUAUUGCAUUUGAGCUAGAAUUCUCAAAGAAUUCUUGAUAAAAUCCAGCAGGAUUAUGGCAGCGUUCUAGUAAGAAUAUUUUCGCUCUGUAAGAUUUCUGUAAGAAUUCUGCGAGAACGCCGUGACUGGGUUGAGCCAUCCCAAGCCAAAUCAAUUUAAAAUGGAAAUCAACUCGUAAGAUCUAUGCGUUUUGGUUUUCGCAGUUUUUUUUUUAUUUUUCAAAAAUAUCAUGAGCUUACCCAGUCACGACGUUCUAGCAGGAUUCUAGCAGAGUUCUCACAGAGCUGGAUAUUCUUACAGCAUUCUAGCAGAAAUGUUCCACCGUUCUAGCAGGAUUCUGGCAGAACCAGCUCUGCUAGAAUGUUUCGUGACUGGGUAUUCCCAGUCACGGCAUUCUAGCAGGAUUCUUACAGAAUUCUAACAGAGUUUACUAGAUUUUUGCCAUCAUUCUGUAAGUUUCCUGCCAUCAUUCUCACAGAAUUCUGGCUCAAAUGCAAUAACCGGUUCUAGCAGAAACCGGUGAAAUGAACCGGUUUUGCUAGAAUCCUGCUAGAAUUGUGCUAGAUCCAACUGACAGGCUAUUCUGCUAGAAUGCUGCUAGAAUUUUGCUAGAAAUGUUCGGUUAAAAAUUUUAUGAGAAUUCUGCUAGAAUUUUGUCAGAAUGUUAUUGCUGAAAAUAUUUCAGCAAAAUAAAAGCUGUGUUUUGUUUCACAUGAAAUUUAUUUCUAUUUAUAUUACAAAAUUAUUGCACUGCACUCAGAUUCCCUGCAAUACCAACAUAGAGGCGGCAACUGUUGUUCCUCUGAGACAACUUUUUUGUUCCGUUAUCCGAUCUGCACGAGUUGAGAAAGUUUUUCCUUGAUGCCGACGCACAGUGGUUCAAAAGCCUGUUUUGACGAACUUAAUUGAUUAGAGCAAAAAGUAAGCAUUUUCGUGCUUCGACAUGUUCUACAACUUUGGUCAGCCUUGUCAUGGCCUACUUUUGAUGAAAUUUGUUUUUCAAAAUACUCAUCACAGUAGGCUAUGGAAUUUCUAACUUUUGACAGUUAAGAGAUAGAGCUUUGGUUUCUUCGGCAAAGUUGUAGGGCUGAAAAUUUCCACAAACUUUGUCGAAGACGCCAUAGCUCUAUCUUUUCGUUGAAUACCAGUUUUGGAACCUUUUUCAUAAAUCCCUGCCAAAAAACAGUUUUUUGACUAAAACUAUGUUGAAUAUUGAUUUUAUAAGU